UUCUUCACAUAAUAAAACUAGCAACAGUACUGAUCUGCUUCUUCACAUAAAAGAUAAAAACCAGUAACAGUUUCAGCAUCCAAUUUCUUUCCCUCUGGAGUUUCUAUAACCGGAAGCCGGAAGAAACCAACACUUGCUUUGUAGUAGUUCAAAUUUGGUAGAUUUGUAAGUGGCAGUUAUAUAGCUGCUGAACAGAUGAGCAGCAGAAGUCUAAUUGUGGAUAAGAUAUUUUGCUUUGAAGAAGAAACCCAUCUCACAGUUCACAGGACUUCCAUCUUCGUUCCCGGCGGCGGCGAUGGGUUCAUUGUGUAUAAUCCCACCGGGGAAAUUACCUUCCGAGUUGACUCCUACGGUCCAGAUUCUGCCUCUAAAGAUGAACUUGUUCUCAUGGAUGGAUUCCUCCGGCAAAUCUCUCGUCACCCUCCUCCGCAAGCGUAGAAACGAAGCCUUCAUCAAAGGUGGGAAGCAUUUUUCAGGAGAGAAGAAGAAGGAUGAGCAGCAGGCAGCCUUUAGCAUAUUCAAAUCAUACAUAAUCGGAAAAUUUGAUCUAUUAGUAGAGGUCUGUGGUCAUGAUCCAGUUUUGGAGUACCACAUCUUUUCUGCAGCGAUCAUGUGCCAUCUACAAUCUGAAAGCAGGUAGCGAGUUGAAAGAACUUGUUGCUGAGAUCAAGAGGAAAGUCGAUCCUGACACAAAUGUGAUGUUGGGAAAGGAUGUUUUCUUGUUGUGCCUUGAACCUUUGGUUGAUGGUGCAUUCAUGAUGGCUUUAAUGCUUGUCCUUGAUCGAAUGGGCGGGGUUGAUAUGGAUGACACUAAUCAAGCUCCUACUACAACUGCGGAAGACACCACCGUCUCUUCUUGAUUUAUCAUUUGUCGCUCUUCAAAAGCAUGGAGUGUAAUCAUCUGACCCUUGCAUGUGCAAUUCAGACCAUUAAAUUCUUACAAGGUUUCUGAACUUCGUAUUCCGGCGGGUUUUGCAAGGGGAAAAUAAUGUUUUACGGGCAUAUCAUGAACUAUCCACGCUCAAAGUUUGUACACCAACUUAAUCUUAAAGCUGACGCAUGACUCGGUGGCUUGCU